rnacentral:rRNA from 1 species
AAACCAGCACCUCAAGUGGUCAGGAGGAUUAUUGGGCCUAAAGCAUCCGUAGCCUGUUCUAUAAGUUUCCGGUUAAAUCCACUAGCUCAACUAGUGGGCUGCCGAAAAUACUGUAGAACUAGGGAGUGGGAGAGGUAGACGGUAUUCGGUAGGAAGGGGUAAAAUCCUUUGAUCUAUUGAGGACCACCUGUGGCGAAGGCGGUCUACCAGAACACGUUCGACGGUGAGGGAUGAAAGCUGGGGGAGCAAACAGGAUUAGAAACCCCGGUAGUCC